rnacentral:rRNA from 1 species
CCUACGGGUGGCAGCAGUGAGGAAUAUUGGACAAUGGGCGCAAGCCUGAACCAGCGAAGUCGCGUGCGGGAUGACGGUCCUAUGGAUUGUAAACCUCUUUGGUCGGGGAGCAAGGCCCGCCACGUGUGGCGGGAAGGAGAGUACCCGAAGAAAAAGCAUCGGCUAACUCCGUGCCAGCAGCCGCGGUAAUACGGAGGAUGCGAGCGUUAUCCGGAUUUAUUGGGUUUAAAGGGUGCGUAGGCGGGCAGUUAAGCCGGCAGUCAAAUGUCGGGGCUCAACCCCGGCCUGCCGUCGGAACUGGGAGACUUGAGUGAGCUAGAGGUAUGCGGAAUGCGUGGUGUAGCGGUGAAAUGCGUAGAUAUAACGCAGAACCCCGAUUGCGAAGGCAGCAUACCGGCGCCCUACUGACGCUGAGGCACGAAAGUGCGGGUAUCGAACAGGAUUAGAUACCCUAGUAGUC